GUGGUCUCCAACCCAGUCCUCAUGGACCACCAACAGUCCAGGAUUUAUGUAUUUCCCUCUUUUAUUCCAAUGGAGAUACUGACAUAACCUGGACUGUUUGUGGUCCAUGAGGAUCGGGUUGGAGACCA
rnacentral:miRNA from 1 species